ensembl:lncRNA
CUCGGUUUCCGACCGCGCCGCCCCGCGCCGCCACCUCGGCUCCGGCGAUACCGGUCACCCUCCUCCAGCGGCCGCAGGUCCCAGCCUCUUCCCACCGCCCCGCCCCGCCAGGCUGAGUGAGGAAACGGGACGCGGCGGCGGACAAACUUAGUGCGCGGGCACCGAGCGCCACGGGCGCACAUUCCGACGCGAUGCCGUGGGAGGGCGAGGAAGAGCGCGGUGACGUAGCGGCUGAGGAUUGGCUGAGCGCGUGGGCUGGGGAGAGGCGGAGCCUUGGGAGCUUGCAGACCCGAGCCACGCAGCGCCCGGCGCAGCGGCGGAAAUGCCGCGCUAGUGUCGUAUAGCCUGUCGUUAGGUGCGUAAGGCGUGAUCUGCCCUCCAAUGCAGGUCUAAUUUGUACAGGGCCAGUGGCGCAAUGGAUAACGCGUCUGACUACGGAUCAGAAGAUUCUAGGUUCGACUCCUGGCUGGCUCGAGGUGUACUUUUUGUCGUGUCUGGGCUUGAUGUUAACAGGGUGUCCGUAGCAAGGACUCUGGUGAGAAGGGUAAAUGUCUCGAAUCUUAAGGCUUGUUGUGUUGCUGUUCAUUCGCUAAAUCUUGUCCGACUCUUGACGACCCUAUGGACUGUAGCAGGCCGGUCUCCCUUGUCCUCCGCUAUCUCCCGGAGUUUGUUCAAAUUUAUCUCCAUCGAGUCAGUGAUGCUAUCUCAUCACUGCCCCCUUGUCCUUUUGCCUUCAGUCUUUCCCAACAUCAGAGUCUUUUCCAUUGAGGCGGCUAUUCGCAUCAGGUGGCCAGAGUAUUGCAACUCCACCAUCAGUCCUUCCAGUGGAUAUUCGGGGUUGAUUUCCUUAAGCCUGUCCGAAAUGUCAUCUGUUGAGCUGGGUUUGGAACCCGGAGUUGUCUCAGGUGGUUUGUAAAUUGCAAAGUGCCCUAAUUAAUGAUGCGCAAGAGGAGACUCUGUAAACGGGGUACAUUUAAGAAAACACAACUAGGAUGGUGGUAGUUGGGGGUUGGGAGUGUGCUGUGGUCGGAGGUUAGCUAGCGGAUGCCACAACUGCGCACUUAAGGCAGGGGUUCUGGCCCUAUUUCCAGUGGAGCAGAAACCCCCGCGGCGUCGCGAAGAGCCGCGCAGUCCGUUUCCCGGGAUCCGGCGAGCUCUAAACUGCAGCGGAGGCGGGAACGCUGCAGUGCGACUGUGCGCGGACUGGGGGUCCGCAAAGUGCUCGGGGUCUGCAGCUCUGUUCUUUCAGAGGGUGUUUUUACAUUACCAAGACCCCAAAGAAUCUAAUAUAUUACAGCUCCUUUUAUUCGUGCCUGAGUGGAAGACCUAAGAAGGACCGUAGGUCUGUGUUGGAAAGGAGAGUGAAACCUGAAACGUAACAUCUGACACCGUCUAUUCACUAAUCAUUCAAUCGAUCAGUUAAACUCUCCAUUACGUUUUUUCCUCCUGAAGAAAUUACAAGACAUUUGUAAAAUACAAAAAAGUACUGGGAAUUAAAAAAAAAUCCAAAUUCCCAUCACGAGAUCAUUACUAUUAACGUCACAAUUCCUCAUUACAAUCAGCGUCAUAAUUUUUUCUUAUGGACUUCUUCCAUACUUUUUAAUAUAAAUAAACCUAUACACNNNNNNNNNNNNNNNNNNNNNNUGAAGGAUAAUUGCUUUACAGAAUUUUGUUGUUUUCUGUCAAACCUCAAGUAUUUUUUCCAAAUUAGAGACUGACAAAUGUCUUUGUGUUCUCAUUUUGUUCCCUUAGCUUUCGUCUGAGAUUUAUGGUCAUUAAAUAUUCCUUGAA